ensembl:lncRNA
CAAUACGUUUUCCCACGCGCAUUCAUCGUUCAUGAGUUUCUGCAUGGACCUAACUAGAGCACAGGUUCUCAAGCCCUGGGACAAAAUGGGAUGCUUUAAGGAAAAUGUAUAGCCUAUAUAAGUAAUAGGCCCAACAUAAAAAUAACUUCUUUUUUUUUUUUAAAUAUGCGAAAUAUAUCCGACUUAAAUAAUUAAGAUAACGGAUUUAAAACAGAAGUGUGGCUGCGCUCCAUAAGUUCACGGAAAAAAAGGAUGACAACGCAUUCUGUUUGUUUGCUUUAUUUUACAAGAGCACAAAUAUUCUGUUUUUAUUGUGUGUGCGCACAAAUAAAACUAAACACUUUUGCGGAAAAGGUUUUUUUAUGUCUCAGCUGUUUCGAUUGCGCCGGAGCCUGCUGCACACGUAUAUUCUAGCGAUUCAAACUUACAUCGCAGUCUGUUCAUUAUCUAAAUAAAAUAGUCAACUAAACAUUUAAAAGGUUACACUGGUCAGUUUAAAUAGACCGUAGGGGAGCGCGGGGCACAAAGUAACGCGGGGUAAAAAGUAACACAGACAUUUUAGAUAGUUGCAAAGGGUUAACUAUGACGUUCUCCCGGGCUUUUCACCGCACUGUCGGCAGACGUCUUCCCGCCAACUUUCGAGAAAGUUCGUCACAUAUCCGAUGAGAACUGAGGAGAAACUCUUUCGUCAGCAUGUUCGAAAACUUGCAUUCGAAUGCGCAGUCAAGUUCCACUGCAAAUUCCCAGAAUCCUGGUCAAAAACCCAAAUGGCAGGCAAAGACUGGUUUACAUCCUUCCUCAAAAGGAACAGGUCUCUUUCAUUACGAAAACCACAAGCCACCAGUAUGGCGAGAGCAACUAGUUUCAAUUCUCACAAUGUAGGAAUUUUUUUUAACAAUUUAGACACUGUAUACAAAACUCACCAUUUUAGGCCAAAUGACAUAUGGAAUAUGGAUGAGACUGGUGUGACCACAGUUCACACCCCAGAAAAAAUAAUUGCGACAAAAGGAGUGCGCCAGAUCGGAGCAAUGACAUCUGGAGAAAGGGGUACGCUUGUGACUGUGGCAGUGGCCAUUAAUGCCCUGGGGAAUUCGGUGCCUCCGUUUUUUGUUUUUCCCCGUAAACGAUUUCACUCUCACUUCAUCCAUGAAGGGCCGCCUGCAUCAGCCGGAGCAGCAAAUGGGUCUGGUUGGAUGCAAGCAGAGGAAUUUUUGCAGUUCCUUCACCACUUUGCCAACCAUACAAAACCCUCGCUAGAAUUGAAGGUACUUCUCUUGCUGGACAAUCACGUGUCCCACCUGUCUGUGCCAGCCAUGGAUUUCUGUAGAGAAAGAGGCAUCGUUUUACUUACUUUCCCACCACAUUGCACUCAUAAGCUCUGUCCCCUGGACAGAACAGUUUUUCGAUCUUUCAAAGGGAGGGUCAACACGCACCUGGACGCCUGGAUGAAAGCUCACCCUGGCAAGAACGCCACAAUAUACGACCUCCCUGGGAUUGUUGCAAAAGCGUUGCCACAGGCAACAACACCUGAGAACAUCAUGUCGGGUUUCAGGUGCACUGGUAUCUGGCCCUACAGCCCUGAUGUGUUUGGAGAAAAUGACUUCGCUCCUGCAUAUGCAACCGACCGACCAGAGCCAACUACCUUGACAUCCUCUGCAGAUUCCUCCACACUCCACCAGGGCUCCACCACACUCCACCAGGGCUCCUCCACACUCCACCAGGGCUCCUCCACACUCCACCAGGGCUCCACCACACUCCACCAGUUUAUUGUGUGAAAUCUGACUCUUCCAGCAACCGUUACAACUAACCCUCUGUCUGUUACAACUAACCCCGCCCACAGGGUAAAUUGUAACAUUUGACUCUAUCCGCUUUGGGCGAUACAGCACAGGAAUGGUAGGUCCGACGAACAUACAAACAGUGCUCAUUUGUAAGAGAGGCUUGCAUGUUGUUGGUUUAAAAAUACGGUUUGUCUAACCCCAUUACUUUGUUAAUUAUUUGGCCAAAUCCAAAAAGUGUUACGUUGUGCCCCGCGCUCCCCUACGCCUCCUCAGCACGAGCUGACCGAUAAAUCUAACACACCAGGAGAGGCGGGACUUAAGGCAGAACAGCCAAUCAUCAGCCGGUCACACUCAAAGCCGGUGUCAUGUUUGAGAGGGAGGGGGAGAGGAGGCAGCCGCAGCGAGCGCAGACACAGAGCGGCCAGAGAAACAGAGGAGUGACUGUAGUUAGGUGUUUGUGCAAAACUGCGGAAAAACUGCAGAAAAAGUGCGGGUGUUGAACCCUCUCACCGGGAAAAGUGUGGGUGUUAAAACACCCACAUCCCCCACGGGUGCGACGCCCCUGCACAGAGGUGGCAUGAGUGCAAUUAAAUUCAUACAUUCAUGUGGAGAUUAAUGUUUUAAAUAUUAAAUUAUUAAUAUUAA